CUCCUCUGCUUCGGCGGGCGAUGCACGCGUCGCGCGAGUCCACGCGUCGGCCAUCCUCGUUCCCCGUGCCGCGUGUCAAGCGUCGCCGCCGACGAACCUCGUUCCUCGCAUCCUUAUCCGCGCCGAGUCCACUCACUCGCCCUCUCCGUCUCCAUUUCGACCGGCCCCAAACCCUAGCUCCCGUCCCCCUCCACCUUUGACGUCGGCCCGAGCUCCUUGCCGCCGCCGAUUCCCCGCCCUUAGUGGGCCUCCCUCCAAUUCCUCGCGCAGGGAGCAUCUCCUCCCUCUCCUCGACCCGUUCCCCUCCUCAUCCGGCCUUUUCAUUCGCCGUGCAGGGCCGCCGGCGAGCUCCUUCGCCCGCCACCGCUCGUCGCCGUCGCGCCGCCCCCUCGUCGCCGUUCCCUGCCCGCGCCACCGCUGUGACCGAACCGUCGGAGGUCGAACCCGUGGAGCCCACCGAGUCCGUUGAGCCCGAGCCGGGAGUCCAGUUCGUGGUCGAGCCUGAAGCUAAUCAAGGUGAGCCGGAAGUGGUGUUCGGCCACUUCUACCCCGCUGAUCCAAAUGUGGGGGAAGAGUAGGUCGUUGCGGCUAUGGUGAUGUCCUUGAGCAAGGCAUCAUCAUCGUAGUAUGUUUUUAUCGUAAUCGAACUCCGUGAGAACAUGUAAAUAUAAUAAUCUUUAAGUUUCUUUAUAAUAUGGCUUCCGUGAGCCCAAGGCUUGUAAUGGAGAUUAGUUUGAACCUUCCUAUAUUGAACUUGUAAUAUUAAGUUGUGAACUCUGGUAAUGUAAAA